rfam:Mustela putorius furo unplaced genomic scaffold scaffold00102, whole genome shotgun sequence.
AGCUUUGCGCAGUGGCAGUAUCGUAGCCAAUGAGGUUUAUCCGAGGCGCGAUUAUUGCUAAUUGAAAACUAUAAUCAAAUUCCAAAUCUGGGCAGUAGACAAAGUCCCACACUAUCCUGCCUACAUUCACACUUCAACAAAUGAUUCUAUA